rnacentral:lncRNA from 1 species
AUUCUGUCCAAGUGUCAGCCUGAAUUGCCAGUACAGAGGGUGGAGCCAGGAGAAUAUAUUAAUCUUGAACCAGCAAACACCAGGCCUCUUCUACUUCUGUAUGGAUAUUGACUGGGGUUGCUGCAAAACAACCACUGAAAUGGAAUAAACUAGAUUAGGUUAUGAUGACCAAUAAAGGGAUUGAGCCUGCAAAUCUCUGUGGACUUUCACUGAAGGAAUACCCUAUGAUGAUCGGGUAAGAUUUCCACUGAUGGACUUCUUUGACUAUCCAUGGAUCUCCCCAAAACCACAUCCAUAUGGUACCAUGUAGGAGAUAUAGUUGUUUGAAGUAUCAUUAAGCCAACAGACCACCAUUCAAGGGGAAUGCUUUUUGCUGGUCAGAGUCCAGCCUGAAAACUGCUACAGCUUUUACACCAAAUUACCUGGGAAUUUCUACAAGUUACUUGGAACCAGAGAAGCAGAUCUACCAGGAGGACACCCUCUUCAGAAGUGCCCUGAGAAUGAGACCUAUUCCAGAAUGUGCAAGGGAAGAUGUUUCUAGGCACCAGACACCUGCUUGGGACAUGUGGGACUCAAUUUGAAAUGUGCUGAUUAAAUAGAUGUUCAGAAUGGGUUACAGAUUACAAGGAGACUUGAUAGUACAUAAUACUCUGGGGCUUUUUGUUUCAUGGUGUUUAUGUCUGAUGAGUUUUUUUUGCUUGUCUUGGUGACAUGUAAAUCUUUUCUCUCAAAUUAGUCCAUGGUGAAGCCAUCUAAGUAGUUGGAUUUGUAGCCUGACUUAGUUUAUUUAUAGAUUCUUAUUUGUCUCCUAAGGGGAGGAUUGUGACUACUUGAACUCUUUGAGCCUCUUAAGUAUUCUAUCAUUCCAUCUAGAAAAUUCUAAUAGAUAAGGUAGUUAAAUAAGUGAUCCUAGGAAUUGAGAAUCCUAGGAUCAAAGGGGCAAACAUUACACUUAAAAAUAGGUUUAAUGACGAUUGCAAAUAUCAAUAAUAUGGAAAUAGGUAUUGAACAAUGUUAUGUAUAUAACUCAAUGGGAUUGCUUAUCAGCUCCAGGAAAGGGGAGUGAAGAGGGAUGGGAAAGAUCAUAAAUCAUUUAACCAUGGAAAAAUAUUCUAAAUAAAUAAAUUUUUAAAAAUAGGAUUAGUGACUCC